GAUGAACGCUGGCGGCGUGCCUAAUACAUGCAAGUCGAGCGAACAGACGCGGCGCUUGCUCGUCUGACGUUAGCGGCGGACGGGUGAGUAACACGUGGAUACCCUCCCUAUCAGACUGGUAUAACUUCGGGAAACGGGAGCUAAUCCCGUAUAAUAUCUUGAAGCGCGGUGUUCAAUGGUGAGAGACGGUUUUUCUGUCAGUUCUCGAUGCUUCCGCGCCGCAUUAGCUAGUUGGUAAGGUAACGGCUUACCAAGGCGACGAUGCGUGGCCGGCCUGACAGAGGGAUCGGCGACACGAGAGCGGGGACACCGACAAGAGUACUGAGGGAGGCAGCAGUCGGGAAUGGGCGGCAAUGGGCGAGAGCAUUGCGGAACAACGGCGCGUGAGUUACGAAGGUCUUCGGAUCGUAAAGCUCUGUUAUGAGGGAAGAACAAAUGUGUAAGGAACCAUGCACGUAUUGACGGUACCGAAUCAGAAAGCCACGGCUAACUACGUG
rnacentral:rRNA from 1 species